rnacentral:rRNA from 1 species
AUUGAACGCUGGCGGCAUGCCUAACACAUGCAAGUCGAACGCGAAAUCACCUUCGGGUGAAAGUAGAGUGGCGGACGGGUGAGUAACGCGUGGGAAUCUGCCCAGUAGUGGGGGAUAACUCGAGGAAACUCGAGCUAAUACCGCAUACGCCCCAUGGGGGAAAGGCUUCGGCCGCUAUUGGAUGAGCCCGCGUCAGAUUAGCUAGUUGGUAGGGUAAAGGCCUACCAAGGCGACGAUCUGUAGCUGGUCUGAGAGGACGAACAGCCCCACUGGGACUGAGACCCGGCCCAGACUCCUACGGGAGGCAGCAGUGGGGAAUAUUGGACAAUGGGCGAAAGCCUGAUCCAGCAAUGCCGCGUGUGUGAAGAAGGCCUGCGGGUUGUAAAGCACUUUCAGUG